rnacentral:rRNA from 1 species
GACGAACGCUGGCGGCGUGCUUAACACAUGCAAGUCGAACGGAAAGGUCCUGCUUUUGUGGGGUGCUCGAGUGGCGAACGGGUGAGUAACACGUGAGUAACCUGCCCUUGACUUUGGGAUAACUUCAGGAAACUGGUGCUCAUACCGGAUAGGAGCUCCUGCUGCAUGGUGGGGGUUGGAAAGUUUCGGCGGUUGGGGAUGGACUCGCGGCUUAUCAGCUUGUUGGUGGGGUAGUGGCUUACCAAGGCUUUGACGGGUAGCCGGCCUGAGAGGGUGACCGGCCACAUUAGGACGGGGAUACGGCACAGACUCCUACGGGAGGCAGCGGUGGGGAAUAGAGCACAAUGGGCGGAAGCCUGAUGCAACAACGCCGCGUGCGGGAAGACGGCCAUCGGGUCGGAAACCGAUUUCGCCUGUGACGAGGCGUGAGUGACGGUAAUGGGUAAAGAAGCACCGGCUAACUACGUG